UUGAGUUGUCAUGGUGAUGCAAGCUCCUACAGGCCGGGGGAAGGAGCUCUUGAGUAGUUCUAAGAGUCAGAAAAACUUGACUUGGCCCUCGGGUUGCCAUGGUGAUGCCAUAGUGGCGCCGGAAGAGGCGGGGUCCGCGGCCAGCCCAAUCUCAUGAGUGGCCUAGUUGAUAUUCAGUCUCCUGGUAGCAGGAAAGCUCUUGGCUUUAUCCUAACCCCACAAAUGACAAAAUGAGGUCUUGGUGGGGCAGGGACUCUUCCUGGGUUCUGCCGAUUCCAAGUUAGGUCGACCCUGGUCCACAUCUCGCUGUCAGUGCCUGGAAGCCUCCUGUUGUCAUGGUGACCCGGGCUCUGCAGAAGGGCUGGGUCUCUGGUCGAGAAAGUGCCCUUUGCCCUCACUUGAGAGCUCCCCCAUCUGGAACCAAAAUUUCUAGCCAGGAGAACUUAAGGCCAUGGAACAGGAAGCAAAACUGUGGGCCACUAGGGAUGAUGUUUAGACCGCCAUUGCCUGCAGGAGCACAGGAGCGCAGGGCAGCGGCUGGACCUGUAAUGACCUGGAGAAAAUGACGGCAGACGUCCCUAAGCUGUUUACACAGCCGUCAGCACCACCUACCAUCUCGGAGCACCUGCCAUCUUUGGCAGAAUACAAUUAUUUUAAGAAUGGUUUGAAAAUCUCUGCCUUCUGGUACCAGUCCUUGCACCACGUUUGAUCUCUUUCGGCCCUGUAUUGGCUUCAGGAAGUCACAGCCAUCAUCCUCAUUUUACAGGCAGGGAAAAUGAGGAUCAGCGUGGCCCCAAACUGCCUGAGGUCAUACCAAGAGUGACCCUGGUCUGGGUCUAAAGAUGGGCUCUAUUCAUGUUAUCCUUGGUUAAGGUAUACUAUUACUAUAAACAGUCCCCAACAUGUCCUCUUAGAGCUACUGAGCCAGUUAGAACUAAGAGCAUCACACUGAGGAGGCUGAGAGACAAGGAGAGACUGAAAUGCAGAAUCUAAGCACGUGAAAUGAUGGCGCAGAAACUCCCCAGAGCAGAAUCCCAAAGGGCUCUGAAGGAGCUCCUCCGUGAUGCUCAGUUACCGACAUCAUCACCGAAGCUUUUAAUUUAACAAGUCAUGCAUCCCAUUCUCCUCUCCCAUCUCCCUUCUGUGAAGUAGCAAUCAGCCUUGUCGUUCACUCUUCGGGAAACUGGCCAGAUUGUGCCUAUACUGCAGUGGAGAACCAGAGAGUUCUGUUUCUUCAGAAUCUGGACACAAAGCUGUGCUUUGCCUUUUGACUCACAGCCUAUUUUCUAUAUGCAGAGGGAAAGUGUUCACCGCUCAAAGUCCCUCUGAGCUUGAGGGCAGGCACAAGAAGGCAUGGCUUUGCUGCCACUGAUCUGUAAGGAUGGAGGACUAAUCCUCUCUGAAGCCUUAUACAUAUCGUCACAUAUAAUCUACGCAGGCCUGGUAAAUAGCUAUAGCCUCCAUGCCUCCCAUCUUUCUGGUGAGGUAUAGGAGAUGGGGGAAAAAACAUCUAUUUUCAAUUCAAAUAAAUAAAAGAGUCCAGAAAUGUGGCGAUCAAAAGCCAACAAACAAAUAAAGAGAUUCAGACUAUACAGUUUAGCCAA